rnacentral:rRNA from 1 species
GAUCAUGGCUCAGGAUGAACGCUGACAGAAUGCUUAACACAUGCAAGUCAAUGGGGAAACGGUGCUUGCACCGUGAUAACCAUGGCGGACGGGUGAGUAACGCGUAAAGAACUUGCCUCUUAGUCUGGGAUAACAGAUGGAAACGACUGAUAAGACUAGAUAUUAUUAAGGUUUCGCAUGAAGCUUUAAUGAAAAGAGAUGCUAAGAGAGAGCUUUGCGUCCUAUUAGUUAG